GACACAGGAACCUCAGGAAACAAACUGGCAUACGCUUAAAGGCAAAGCAUCCAGUUAUCCAACUGUAGAAGACAGACACAAAUGGGAACAACCUAACAGAAACCCAAACACAGGAUUAGGAUCCCGAAACAGAGACAGUAAUCGAAACGGGCAGGCUGAACCUACGGCGAGAGCAGAGAGGAGAGGUUCAACAAUGGCGUGAGCAGAAACACUAGGACGGGCAGCGAGACAGUGACCUAACAACGAGCGUGUGACGGAAGACGAAACAGAAAGGUAUAAAUAGAUAAGGAGGAAACUGGACACGGCUGGAAACUAAUCAGAGAAACGAGAGGGAGGGGCAAGUGCACACGUGAAGAUCCUUCACCACAGAGAUCAUAUAUUUGGUUUCCAUAUCAACUGGAAAGGACCAGUCAAUGAAUAGCUUAAAAGACUUUUAGGUCACCCUCUAUUGCUGAAAACUUACAAAGGUCUGGACAUCAUUUGAAACUGAAGGUAUGAGCAGAACAGAAGGACAGAUAGAGGAGAGAGGAUACUGGGGGAGUAAAGCAGAGUUUCUUCUGGCUGUGGCAGGAAAUGUAGUUGGUCUUGGUAACGUCUGGAGGUUUCCAUACCUCUGCUACAAAUAUGGAGGAGGUGCGUUUCUGAUACCCUACCUUGUUUUUGUGAUUACCUGUGGGGUUCCUUUGUUCCUACUAGAGACGGCAAUGGGACAGUACACCAGGGAAGGUGCCAUUACAUGUUGGCAUCGCCUCUGUCCUCUGGCUGUAGGUAUUGGUUAUGCAGGUCAGCUGAUUCUGCUGUACAGCUGCAUCUGUUACAUCAUCAUUCUGGCCUGGGCACUUUUCUACCUUCUCUUCUCUUUCAGUUCUCAACUGCCAUGGGCCAGCUGUGACAACACCUGGAAUACAGAUGGCUGUGUAAAUCUUGGUGCAAAGAAUUUGACUCUCAACCACACAGCACAAAUGAAUUCCACGUCUGCAGCUACUGAAUUCUGGGAACGCAGAGUGCUGUAUCUCUCUGGUGGUAUUGAACAGAUGGGUAAAAUCAACUGGGAGAUUCUUUUGUGUCUCAUUGCAAUGUUGAUCAUAUGUUAUUUCUGCAUCUGGAAAGGAGUCAAAUCUACAGGCAAGGUGGUGUAUUUUACUGCCACAUUUCCUUAUGUGAUGUUACUUGUGUUGCUGAUUCGUGGGUUGACUCUUCCUGGAGCCCUACAGGGGAUUAAGUUUUACCUGUAUCCUGACCUGUCCCGUCUCUAUGACCCACAGGUUUGGAUGGAGGCUGGAGCUCAGAUCUUUUUCUCCUACAGUUUGUCUCUUGGUACUCUCACUGUCUUAGGCAGCUACAAUAAAUACAACAAUAACUGCUACAGGGACAGUUUUUGGCUUUGUCUACUGAACAGUCUCACCAGUUUUGUGGCUGGUUUUGCUGUGUUCUCAGUCCUGGGCUUCAUGGCCCAUCAGCAAAGCGUACCCAUUGAUAAGGUGGCAGAAUCAGGUCCAGGUCUAGCGUUUAUAGCUUACCCACAGGCAGUUGCUAUGAUGCCUCUUCCCCAGUUGUGGGCUGUAUGUUUCUUCAUCAUGAUUAUAUUACUUGGUCUAGAUACACAGUUUGUAGGAAUGGAGGUUGUCAUGACGUCAAUGAUGGACCUGUUCCCUAAGAUACUGCGCAAAACUGGAUACAGAGAAUUUUUUCUCCUCAUCUUCUGUCUCAUUUGCUUCUUGGGCCAACUCAUCAUGGUUACAGAGGGGGGGAUGUAUGUAUUCCAGUUGUUUGACUACUAUGCCUGCAAUGGAGCCGGUGUUCUUUUCCUGUCUGUAUUUAAGUCUGUGGUCAUGGGUUGGAUAUUCGGUGCUGAGAAAAUGUUUGAUAUCAUUGAAGACAUGACAAAGACACGACCCAACUACAUUUUCAUGCUGUGCUGGAAAUAUCUGACUCCUCUUGUGUCCUUGGUGUCUCUUGUCUGUUCUCUGGUGCAGUUCCAGCCUCUGACAUAUAACCGCUGGUACGUGUACCCGGACUGGACACAUGCACUUGGCUGGUUACUGGCCCUGUCCUCCAUUCUGCUAAUCCCUGUAUGGGCACUGGGUCAACUGUUUGCUGGAAAAGGAAGCCUGAAACAGCGUUGGCAUUAUCUGUGUAGUCCUGACAAGAACCUCCCACUCACCUGUAAGCAACAAGCUGAAAUGCAGAAAAUGAUGUGCACUGCAGAUCCUGAAGAUUUAUUCAGGAAUAACACAGAAGAACAUGUCAAUACACUUUGAAAUAAAAAUACAUUUUCCAACUUUUUCCAGUGGAGUUGAAUUUUGCAUCUGCCCUCAUUCUUCAGUAUAAACAGCAAACUUCCCCUGAUUAAAAAAAACAAUUGAAGGAUCAUUCUACAAAACAAAUUUUUGGUAUGGUAGAUGUCUUAAAAUGUACUACUUUUUCUAACAUUUAAAUUUAAAACCACAUUAUUAGAUUUCCCUUUGACUUUAUAAAUACACAUUAAUGACAGCUUGAUGUUUUUCUUCAUGUGCAUUUAUCUUAUAUGUAUGCAUGUAGAUAGAUUCUGAUGUAUUACGUUAAAAUAAUGUAAGUGUCAUAUUUACAAACAAAAAUGUAAGUAUGUAAAAAUUAUCCAUAAAUAUACAUAGUAGAAAAAUAAAACAGAAAUAGUGGUCCUGUAAAUGUCCACAAGUAAAUUGCAGUGGGCCUACAGUAUUUGGCAACAAUAUUAAAAACCUAUUUAUGCCCCAGCUGCAACACAGGGCUGGGACAACAUCCUUGUUUUUUAAUGUCAAUUAAAACCAUUGUGGAUCACAAGGUUCCAGCCUAUAAAUGACAAAAAAGACACUUGAAUAAGCAUUUUAGGAUUGUGUCUUUCAGAAAAAAAAUAACAAUCCCAAAAGGUUGAUUUACUCCAAACAAGUAUUUGACUGUAAUGCCAUAAGUCUUGUGUACCAUCUUAAGGGUUUUCUUGUAAAUAUAAAGGACACACUUUUAAAUAGUAUGUAAAGUGCAUUUAUAAUUAUCGCCUCAUAUAUUGUACAGUAUAAAGUGUCUGUUUACCUCAGGUGUCAUAACUUCCUUGAUUUGUGUCACAGCCACACAGCUGAAUGGCGUUUCGUCCGUGACCAUUUCUAGGCUAAUACCAGCACAGUCUACAUGUAGCCAAUUUUGGCAUUGAUCACACUGAAACCAGUUGAGUGUUUGGAUAUGUGGAUGCAUUUUUCUAAGGACAAAAAUUGAUUAAACAAACUAAGUGUAACAGAAUUGCACAACAUCUAAAAAAUGAAUAGUUUAUACUUACUUGGAAAGAAAUGUUUGACAAAGGCACACUCUAGCUUCCUGAGCCAUACAGUUGUUCUGUGCCACACUCUUUGUUGCUUCAACGGCCUUGGACGGAGUGUUCUUACAAUUAUUUCAUACAUCCUUUAAUCUGUGCAUCACGUUGUGUUACUUUGUGCAUCAAACACACUUUAAAAGAACUUGUGUCCCCAUUUACUAGAUUGUAUAUUUUUACCAUGCAUGAGGCAUGAUAAAGCCGAAGAUGUCUCAGUUGUUCAGGGUGCAGUAUUUCAUGAUUCAUUUGAAUAUUUUUGGUUUCCAUCUUCACUACCUAUUUAAAUAAGAAUUUAAGAAAAUGAUUUAUUUAUAAAACAUUUUACAAAAUAUGACUAAAUAUAUGCAACAAGGAAGAUACAACACUGCUUACUCACUGUGUGAACAAAAACACCACAAUGGCUUCCAUAAUCUCUAUGCCAUUGCUGUGGAUAGGAUGUAGACCAGCCAUUCAAGAAGCCAAGCUUUCUAAAUGCAUUUCUGAAAACACAAACAUACAAUUAAAAUAUAAUUAUUUAUUAAACAAUUUAUUGACUGUAAUUUAUACAUUAAUGAGCAAUACUGAGAAAUGCAUAUGACAU